GACGAACGCUGGCGGCGUGCUUAACACAUGCAAGUCGAACGGAAAGGCCCUGCUUUUGUGGGGUGCUCGAGUGGCGAACGGGUGAGUAACACGUGAGUAACCUGCCCUUGACUUUGGGAUAACUUCAGGAAACUGGGGCUAAUACCGGAUAGGAGCUCCUGCUGCAUGGUGGGGGUUGGAAAGUUUCGGCGGUUGGGGAUGGACUCGCGGCUGAUCAGCUUGUUGGUGGGGUAGUGGAUUACCAAGGCUUUGACGGGUAGCCGGCCUGGGCGGGUGACCGGCCACAUUGGGACUGGGAUACGGCCCAGACUCCUACGGGAGGCAGCAGUGGGGAAUAGUGCACAAUGGGCGGAAGCCUGAUGCAGCAACGCCGCGUGCGGGAUGACGGCCUUCGGGUUGUAAACCGCUUUCGCCUGUGACGAAGCGUGAGUGACGGUAAUGGGUAAAGAAGCACCGGCUAACUACGUG
rnacentral:rRNA from 1 species